rnacentral:misc_RNA from 1 species
GAUGAAGAACGCAGCGAAAUGCGAUAAGUAAUGUGAAUUGCAGAAUUCAGUGAAUCAUCGAGUCUUUGAACGCACAUUGCGCCCCCUGGUAUUCCGGGGGGCAUGCCUGUCCGAGCGUCAUUGCUGCCCUCAAGCACGGCUUGUGUGUUGGGCCGUCGUCCCCCUCCUAGGGGACGGGCCCGAAAGGCAGCGGCGGCACCGCGUCCGGUCCUCGAGCGUAUGGGGCUUCGUCACCCGCUCCGUAGGCCCGGCCGGCGCUUGCCGACGACCAUCAAUCUCUUUCUCCAGGUUGACCUCGGAUCAGGUAGGGAUACCCGCUGAACUUAAGCAUAUCAAUAACGGAGGA